UACGGAGGAGGCAAGCGUUAUCCGGAAUUAUUGGGCGUAAAGCGUCCGUAGGUGGCUAGUCAAGUCUGCGGUCAAAGACUGGGGCUUAACCCUGGAAAGGCCGUGGAAACUGACGAGCUAGAGUGCAGUAGGGGUAGAGGGAAUUCCCGGUGUAGCGGUGAAAUGCGCAGAUAUCAGGAGGAACACCGGUGGCGAAGGCGGCUCACUGGACCGGUACUGACGCUGAUGCGCGAAAGCGUGGGGAGCAAACGGG
rnacentral:rRNA from 1 species